UAGAUAGAUAGAUAGAUAGAUAGAAAUAUCUAAUUCUAUUGGUUCUAUUUUGCUGGAGAGCCCUGACUAAUACACUCUUCUAGCACCAGCGGGCCCAAGAUGGGAACAAGUUGUGCAAAGAGGGGCCGGGACAGCAGAGAAGCUGCAACAAGUGAGGAAAACUAUGGCCUAGAAAUCCAGUUCACUCUAUCCAUUGGCCACUUUUUCAAAGGCCAAAAAAAACCUUCUGAGGUUAUUGGACGGCCCUGGACACCACAGUUUUUAGAAGUAAGAGCCAUCAGUUCAGAAUCACUGGCCCAGGAGACGAUCGCCAGAAACCCCCAGGGCAUCAAAAAUCCAGAAGGAAGCCACAGACACUUUUGUGAACUGAUCAGAUGAACUUAGAUAUGAGGCUGAGUCACCUUGAUGUCUUAUCACUAAAGACCCUCUCGAGAGAUUUCCAUAGUCCUUCCUACGGCCAAGGACCAGGGGCCAUCAGGUAAAUGCUUCACUAUCAACCACGAGGUUUAGGGCAGGAGCAAGGGCUCCAGAGCCAGAGAACCUGAUUCCACCACUUUCUGUCCUUGAGAAGGGACAAGGAAAAACCUGUGUUCUCAUUUGUGAAAUGAAGAUAAAGACCAGGCUUACAGGGUGACUGGAACAAUAUAUGAAUAGAAACUGAAACCAGCUGCUCACUCUAAUUCUGCUCUGUUCGCAAGACAACUGCUAGGACACCUCACACGGGGAAAACAAUCCCCUCUGGCUGCGACACAGGGCCCAACGUAGGGGUCCCCAGAAUUGUGAGGAGGAGCUAAUUUUCACAUCUUGGAGAGCAGAUCCCUAAGGGAAAAUAUUGGCUGAGAGACGGUGACCGGCAGUGAGGCUCCUGAGGAAGAGGAAAUCGGAUUCUGGCAGAUCGAGAAGCUAAGGCUCCAAGAGGUUGACACUUGGCCAAGUUGAGAUUGUAAGAGGGCAGCAGGGCCCACACACAGGUACCUGCUUGAUACAGCUCUCAAGCUGAACGUCAGGCAGCCUUCCUUGGGUCUAAAGGCCUGCACGCUGUGGGGAAGUCUGAAUGCCUCCUCUGGCACUCCCUUCCCUGUCCUUCCUAAAGGAACGUGCAGCCCCACACUGAGAUUCUGAGCCUUGGCGCAGCAGCACGAAUGGGCACGCGAGAGCGCCUGAGCGGAGAACAGAGAGAGAUAAGUCGAAGUGAUGUGCUUACAUCAGAAGCGGCAGAAAAUGUCAGUGAUUAAAUUUAAAAGUCAGUUUUAAUUCUGAGAAUAUGGAAGUCAAAGCCCAUUCGGUGUCAGAUUGAGCUAAUAGAUUAAAAAUUCAAUCAGAAAUAA